rnacentral:rRNA from 1 species
CACGCCCUAAACGAUGUGCGCUAGAUGUCGGGGGACUUGUCCUUCGGUGUCGGAGCUAACGUGUUAAGCGCACCGCCUGGGGAGUACGGCCGCAAGGUUAAAACUCAAAGGAAUUGACGGGGGCCCGCACAAGCGGUGGAGCAUGUGGUUUAAUUCGACGCAACGCGCAGAACCUUACCAGCCCUUGACAUGGUAGCAAAAGCCGGGUGAGAGCUCGGGGUUCCUUCGGGAGGCUACUGCAGGUGC